rnacentral:tRNA from 3 species
GGCCUUGUAACUCAGUGGAAGAGUGCUCGUUUCCGAUGCGAGAAGUCCCAGGUUCGAACCCUGGCCGGGUCG